rnacentral:rRNA from 1 species
GACGAACGCUGGCGGCGUGCUUAACACAUGCAAGUCGAACGGAAAGGCCCUGCUUUUGUGGGGUGCUCGAGUGGCGAACGGGUGAGUAACACGUGAGUAACCUGCCCUUGACUUUGGGAUAACUUCAGGAAACUGGGGCUAAUGCCGGAUAGGAGCUCCUGCUGCAUGGUGGGGGUUGGAAAGUUUCGGCGGUUGGGGCUGGACUCGCGGCUUAUCAGCUUGUUGGUGGGGUAGUGGCUUACCAAGGCUUUGACGGGUAGCCGGCCUGGGAGGGUGACCGGCCACAUUGGGACUGAGAUACGGCCCAGACUCCUACGGGAGGCAGCAGUGGGGAAUAUUGCACAAUGGGCGGAAGCCUGAUGCAGCAACGCCGCGUGCGGGAUGACGGCCUUCGGGUUGUAAACCGCUUUCGCCUGUGACGAAGCGUGAGUGACGGUAAUGGGUAAAGAAGCACCGGCUAACUACGUG